rnacentral:rRNA from 1 species
UACGUAGGGGGCAAGCGUUGUCCGGAUUUAUUGGGCGUAAAGAGCGUGUAGGCGGCCAGGUAGGUCUGCUGUGAAAACUGGAGGCUUAACCUCCAGCUGUCGAUGGAAACCAUCUGGCUAGAGUCCGGAAGAGGAGAGUGGAAUUCCUGGUGUAGCGGUGAAAUGCGCAGAUAUCAGGAAGAACACCCGUGGCGAAGGCGGCUCUCUGGGACGGUACUGACGCUGAGACGCGAAAGCGUGGGGAGCAAACAGG